AGCGAACGCUGGCGGCAGGCCUAACACAUGCAAGUCGAACGAAGUCUUCGGACUUAGUGGCGGACGGGUGAGUAACACGUGGGAACGUGCCUUUAGGUUCGGAAUAACUCAGGGAAACUUGUGCUAAUACCGAAUGUGCCCUUCGGGGGAAAGAUUUAUCGCCUUUAGAGCGGCCCGCGUCUGAUUAGCUAGUUGGUGAGGUAAAGGCUCACCAAGGCGACGAUCAGUAGCUGGUCUGAGAGGAUGAUCAGCCACACUGGGACUGAGACACGGCCCAGACUCCUACGGGAGGCAGCAGUGGGGAAUCUUGCGCAAUGGGCGAAAGCCUGACGCAGCCAUGCCGCGUGAAUGAUGAAGGUCUUAGGAUUGUAAAAUUCUUUUACCAGGGACGAUAAUGACGGUACCUGGAGAAAAAGCCCCGGCUAACUUCGUGCCAGCCGCCGCAGUAACAC
rnacentral:rRNA from 1 species